rnacentral:rRNA from 1 species
GACGAACGCUGGCGGCGUGCCUAAUACAUGCAAGUUGAGCGCUGAAGUUUGGUACUUGUCCCGACUGGAUGAGCAGCGCACGGGUGAGUCACUCGUGGGGAAUCUGCCUUUGAGCGGGGGACCACAUUUGGAAACUAAUGCUAAUACCGCAUAAAAACUUUAAACACAAGUUUUAAGUUUUAAAGAUGCACUUGCAUCACUCAAAGAUGAUCCCGCGUUGUAUUAGCUAGUUGGUGAGGUAAAGGCUCACCAAGGCGAUGCUACAUAGCCGACCUGAGAGGGUGAUAGGAAAAAUUGGGACGAAGACACGGACCAAACACCAACGGGAGGAAGCAGUAGGGAAUCUUCGGCAAUGGACGAAAGUCGGAUCGAGCAACGCAGCGCGAGGGAAGAAGGAGUUCGGAUCGUAAAACAAUGUUGGUAGAGAAGAAAGUUGGUGAGAGUGGAAAGCUCAUCAAGUGACGGUAAAUACCCAGAAAGGGACGGCUAACUACGUG